rnacentral:rRNA from 1 species
AGUGAACGCUGGCGGUAGGCCUAACACAUGCAAGUCGAACGGCAGCACAGUAAGAGCUUGCUCUUACGGGUGGCGAGUGGCGGACGGGUGAGGAAUACAUCGGAAUCUACUUUUUCGUGGGGGAUAACGUAGGGAAACUUACGCUAAUACCGCAUACGACCUACGGGUGAAAGCAGGGGAUCUUCGGACCUUGCGCGAUUGAAUGAGCCGAUGUCGGAUUAGCUAGUUGGCGGGGUAAAGGCCCACCAAGGCGACGAUCCGUAGCUGGUCUGAGAGGAUGAUCAGCCACACUGGAACUGAGACACGGUCCAGACUCCUACGGGAGGCGGCAGUGGGGAAUAUUGGACAAUGGGCGCAAGCCUGAUCCAGCCAUACCGCGUGGGUGAAGAAGGCCUUCGGGCUGUAAAGCCCUUUUGUUGGGAAAGAAAAGCAGCAGGUUAAUACCCCGCUGUUCUGACGGUACCCAAAGAAUAAGCACCGGCUAACUUCGUG